GGGGGGGGGGGGGGGGGGGGGGGGGGGGGGCGGGGCGGGGGGGGGGGCGGGGGGCUGGCGCCGCGGACGGUAGCGGCGGGCGGGGGAGGACCACGUGGAUGGCCUACCUAUAGGGCUGGGGGGCCUGCGGGACACCGGGGCUACUACCGGAGAAUAUAUUGCACCGCAUGGGUCAAUAGUGACAGACGGUUUUGCUGUCACUUAUAGAUGGAUCCGCGCCGCAUUAGCUAGUUGGUAAGGUAACGGCUUACCAAGGCGACGAUGCGUAGCCGACCUGAGAGGGUGAGCGGCCACACUGGAACAGAGACACGGUCCAGACUCCUACGGGAGGCAGCAGUAGGGAAUCUUCCGCAAUGGGCGAAAGCCUGACGGAGCAACGCCGCGUGAGUGAUGAAGGUCUUCGGAUCGUAAAACUCUGUUAUUAGGGAAGAACAAAUGUGUAAGUAACUAUGCACGUCUUGACGGUACCUAAUCAGAAAGCCACGGCUAACUACGUG
rnacentral:rRNA from 1 species